CUGCCCUGAAGGGGGCUCUUGGAUAAAAGGUGCAGUAGCAGAUCAAGUAACCUUUCUGGAGGGGUCCAGAGCAAAGGAGGUGACUGCAGAAGAACUGGUUGCUGCCUAUUUGACAGAGGGGCUGAUUUGUAUGGUAUGCUGGUCAUGUCUAUGGAUCCUACUUCUACCCAUGGCUUUGCAAAUGUGUCUGAUUAAUAAAAUAAUAACUGCAGUUAAAUUGCAGUAUGUCAGUAUGCUGUAGUUCCCAGAUAGUCCGCAGAAUUGUUUCCUGACAGGCAGCUCUCAAAAACUAGGGCUGGGGAGGAUGGUGGCAGCAGCUGAUGGCAUGAAUGCAUUCUGAACUGUAAAUGGGAUGGAUGUUCUG
rnacentral:lncRNA from 1 species